rnacentral:tRNA from 1 species
CGAAGUAUAGCUUACUUAAAGCCUUUCGCUUACACCGAAAAAAGGUCUGUUAAACCCAGACUACUCCGA